GCUCCUAUAGUUCAGUGGAAGAACGUGUGCUUAACAACGACCGACGUCGCUUGAAACGCACAAGGUCGUGAGAUCGAAACUCACUAGGAGUA